AUUUUCCCCUGUUCUUACCAUUUCCUGUGGUUUUACUCUGGAGCAUGAUGGAUGAAGAAGGCUAUUUGUGUGACUAAGUUUUCUCAUUGUUUAAGGCACUUGAUCUUCCCUGUGGGCCUCCCCUGACAUGCUUGCCCCUGCUCACCAGCCUGUAGAAGAAGAUUUGUGAAUCUCCUGGUGUGGCAGGCUUAAGGUGAUAUGGCACUUCCCACGUGCACCAGGAAAGCGUGUAUUUCUGUACUUCAGUUUUCCUGAGUACCUGUUUG
rnacentral:lncRNA from 12 species